AUGGGUUGCCAAGACCCUUUCGCCAUCCCGUUGGCCACUGCUGCCAGCUUAUCCCCGCCAGAAACCAACCCUGCGCCGUCGCUUGCAUCGAAAAAGAGGUUGGGGGAUCUUCACCGGUCGGAAGCAUCGGCUCCAACCGCGAAAGUCCGCCGGGGUGGCCACUGCCUAUCCAACGACUGUCGAUUGCCCUCCCCCGCUUCCGCCGAUGGCAAGAGAGCUAGGAAACCUACGGCCGCGGCGUCGGCUCUCGCCGAGGGGGCCGCGAAGAAGAAGAAAAAGUUGGGGGCAGAUGGUUCUUUUUUGCGUGAGACAAGGGAAGUGGGUUUUCUUUGUGCGUGUGGGGAGGCGGGGGGAUGGUUUUUCCUAGGGAGGAUCAAAUGGAGGGGAGCAGGAUGUACUAAGCGCAGUCCCCAGCUUUCCUUUAACGGUAGAGACACGGUUAAAAAAACUUACUACUAUUAA
rnacentral:rRNA from 1 species